UCAUUCUAGAUACACUUUCCAGUACAUCUACUAUGUUACGACUUAUCUUACCUUAAAUAAUAAGAGCGACGGGCGAUAUGUACAUAUUUUAGAGCUAUAAUCAAAUUAUUAAUCUUUAUAAUUUUACUACCAAAUCCACUUUCAAAAACUUUUUCAUAAUUUUAUCCAUAUAAAUAAAUUUAUUGUAACCCAUCAUUUCUUAAAUAUAAGCUACACCUUGAUCUGAUAUAAAUUAUUAUAAAAAUUACUGAAUAUUAUUAUUCUUAUAAAAUAUUCUAAUAACGACGGUAUAUAAACUGAAUAAUACAAAUUUAAGUAAGGUCCAUCGUGGAUUAUCGAUUACAAAACAGGUUCCUCUGGAUAGACUAAAAUACCGCCAAAAUUUUUAAGUUUCAAGAACAUAACUACUACUACUUAAGUAUU
rnacentral:rRNA from 1 species